rnacentral:rRNA from 1 species
AUACGUGGGGUGCGAGCGUUGUCCGGAAUUACUGGGCGUAAAGAGCUCGUAGGUGGUUUGUCGCGUCGUCUGUGAAAUUCAGGGGCUUAACUCCGGGCGUGCAGGCGAUACGGGCAUAACUUGAGUACUGUAGGGGAGACUGGAAUUCCUGGUGUAGCGGGGAAAUGGGCAGAUAUCAGGAGGAACACCGGUGGCGAUGGGGGGUCUCUGGGCAGUAACUGACGCUGAGGAGCGAAGGCAUGGGUAGCGACCAGGAUUAGAUACCCUGGUAGUCCAUGCCGUAAACGGUGGGCGCUAGGUGUAGGGGUCUUCCACGACUUCUGUGCCGUAGCUAACGCAUUAAGCGCCCCGCCUGGGGAGUACGGCCGCAAGGCUAAAACUCAAAUGAAUUGACGGGG